AUUUAAAUAGCUUAUAUAGAGUAUAAUAUUGAAGAUAUUAAGGAAAUAUUUAUUAUUUUUAAAUA
rnacentral:tRNA from 1 species